AUUACAGCAGGAAGCUGAAGAAGAUGAGCAGAGGUUCUGACACCACCACACGCUCAUCCCACGUCUAACUUCUUUACUGGAAAGGUUCUGAUGACUACAAAGACCUCCGUGAGCGGUCUUCCUGUUUCAACAUCUCCACAGCAUCACUCAUGAUGUUCUGAAAAUAAGCAACUGCAAAUCGCUAGUGUUCCUCCUGCCACAUUCCAACCAUCAGAGUGCUCAGAUGACAAAAGGUGCCCGAGAGGUGCCUGCUUUAACCUCGACAGGCCGACAGUCCUCGCAGUGCCCCCAGCCUUGUACAGACGAAAGCCAGUGACUGAGUAGAAAUCAGGCCUCACCGGAACCCUGAGCAGAGGGUGGACAACUACUCAGGAACUCAGGAAACUCAUGCGUCAGAAAAGGUGACUCAUAAAUAAACCAAAAGAAUAUGGCUGCACAGAUAGCAGAAUCUGAUCAGAUAAAACAGUUUAGGGAAUUCCGGGG
ensembl:lncRNA